UCCAGACUCCUACGGGAGGCAGCAGUGAGGAAUAUUGGUCAAUGGGCGGGAGCCUGAACCAGCCAUGCCGCGUGAAGGCGAGUGCCCUACGGGCGUUAAACUUCUUUUGUGCGGGAGCAAUAAGGGCCGCGCGUGGCCCGAUGAGAGUACCGCACGAAUAAGCAUCGGCUAACUCCGUGCCAGCAGCCGCGGUAAUACGGAGGAUGCGAGCGUUAUCCGGAAUUACUGGGUGUAAAGGGAGCGUAGGCGGGGAUGCAAGUUGGGUGUCAAAACUACCGGCUCAACUGGUAGUCGCACUCAAAACUGCAGCUCUUGAGUGAAGUAGAGGCAGGCGGAAUUCCUAGUGUAGCGGUGAAAUGCGUAGAUAUUAGGAGGAACACCAGUGGCGAAGGCGGCCUGCUGGGCUUUUACUGACGCUGAGGCUCGAAAGUGUGGGGAGCAAACAGGAUUAGAUACCCUCGUAC
rnacentral:rRNA from 1 species